rnacentral:rRNA from 1 species
AUGUCUAGCUCCGGCAUCAACACCAUACCCGCAGCCAACCACGAGGAGCAGAGCCUGGCGGCGCCCGCCCCGCCCCCUACGGCCGCCGUCGCCGAGGGGAAAGGGAAGGUGCUUGCGCAACAGGCGCCUGCGCCGGUGGUUCGCAAGCGCAAGUCCGGCAGAGACCCGCAGAAAAGCCCGCCCCCAGCGGCCACCAGAGAGGAGCUGGAAUCCCGGGAGUCCCGGGAAGGCCCCUUGAAGGUCCUUGCGCUCCCGGCCCCAGGGGCCCCGCGUACUCACGCUGUCUCCGACGACAAGAUGAUGAGACGCGCUCGCGCCCGCACCCUGCAUGCAAAUGCUGUCUCCAACGACAAGAUGAUGGACGGGAAAAAUGAGAUGGCGCCGGUCCAGGGGGUGCCGCCCAUGCGGGGAAGCAUCGCGGCUUUAAGCUCGGUUGGUGGGGUUGUGAGUGAAAACGCGGGGAGCUUGGCAGCAGGGAAAAUGGCACCUAGAGGGGCUCAUGUCUCCAUGAUGAACAACCACAACUUUGAUUUGAAUGAGCUACCGACUGAACAUGAGCAGCUCCAGCAGGAGCAACCGCCCAAAGAGCAGGAUUAG